rnacentral:rRNA from 1 species
UGGGGAAUAUUGGACAAUGGGCGAAAGCCUGAUCCAGCCAUGCCGCGUGUGUGAAGAAGGUCUUCGGAUUGUAAAGCACUUUAAGUUGGGAGGAAGGGCAGUAAGCGAAUACCUUGCUGUUUUGACGUUACCGACAGAAUAAGCACCGGCUAACUCUGUGCCAGCAGCCGCGGUAAUACAGAGGGUGCGAGCGUUAAUCGGAUUUACUGGGCGUAAAGCGUGCGUAGGCGGCUAAUUGAGUCGGAUGUGAAAUCCCCGAGCUUAACUUGGGAAUUGCAUUCGAUACUGGUUAGCUAGAGUGUGGGAGAGGAAGGUAGAAUUCCAGGUGUAGCGGUGAAAUGCGUAGAGAUCUGGAGGAAUACCGAUGGCGAAGGCAGCCAUCUGGCCUAACACUGACGCUGAGGUACGAAAGCAUGGGGAGCAAACAGG